rnacentral:tRNA from 1 species
ACUUUCUUAGUAUAAUUAGUACUAUUGACUUCCAAUCAAUAAGAUCCGUAUACAACGGAAGAGAGUA